GGCGUGGGUGACCAGAAGUGGAUUUUUCACGCUGAAUGGUGCACUUCUGAGAGACGUUUGAAGACGCCACGCUUCUGCAGCCUGUGAGACUCUUAGCAACGAAAAUCAUCACAAAAACUUUUUUGACGCGGUUUCGGAUGGACCGACGGGGUUCCCCAACCCCAUUUUGGUUUAAUCCGUCAGUGCAAAAGUUAACAGAAACUGACUCCGGUUGCAUUUUCUAAAAAAGAAAGCAAAAGACCCUGCAAAGUUUGGGGCCCCAAAGCUACCGGGGAUGUUUGGACUUUUUUCCUCCUCCUUCAGUCUUCAGUGAGGAGCCGAGAGUGAAGAGGAGGAUGAAGAGGCACAAAUGCUGAUGUUGCUGAGUCAGCCUCAUGAUUUCAUCAUCAUGGGACGGGACCAGCGGUGGUGAACCAUGACCGUGGGCGGCAUCCAUGCAGCUGCUCUGCCUCUUUCUGGCCGCAUCCCAGCAGGGGAGCCCUCUGCCCCCGUCAUGAAAGGAAGGAAGCUGGAAUCCUGGACGUUUUAAAGAUGUCGUCUGAUGUUUAUUGGGCUGACUAUCAUCCCGUGUCUUGACGGACAGCCAAUCGGAUCCUCUAGCUGAGAAUUUCAACUGGUCUUCAGAUUUCCAUCAGGAGGACCUCCUGUGUUGGCUUGAAGCCUUUCGGAUGAAGCCUGGCCGGAUGGAUUGUCAAAAACGCACCUCCUGCGUCUGGGCCGGGCCAAAAGGGGGAUAUUCAAGCUGUGUGGUCGGUUUCGGAAAAGUAAGCCAAAACCCACAAUAGAUCUCUUAAUUCCACGACAGGAAACAGGUCAGAGGCCGUGAUGAGCAAGGCACUCUUCCUGUGCACAAUAAUCCCUGAGCACUUCAGUAUUUAAUAUGUGAUACCCAGGAGGCCAGUUGAACUAGUCGGAUGAGUGAAGCGCAUUCUCCGCAUCAGUCAACGGUGGCUCCAAACCCAGGACCGAUCCACGACCAAAGACACACAAAUGCCAUGAAACAUAUGCAACAAGGAAAUGAUGCAAUCACAUAAACUCUGCCAGAGCCAAACCAAGUACAGUGGAACCUUGGUUAGCGUCAUUAAUUCAUUCCAGAAGGUCUGAUUCUCAACAAAACAGACACUAACCAAUUUUUCCCCUUUAAAAAAUAAUGUAAAUCCAACUAAUCCAUUCCUAAUGUUAAUGCAGAACAUGUUUUUAUAGUUGUUUACAUGCAGAUAACAAUUUGAAAUGCGUAUAAAUACCUAAAAAAUACUGGACUGGACUGAUUCUUGACGACGGUUCUGAAAGACCACCACCACUUUCCUGUUUUGACAUGAGUUGUUUCUUUAAUAGUUUCUCACCUCAACACCGUAACAAAAAGGUACCAAAACCAGUUUAAAGUACCAGGAUUUUGACAAAGAAGGUAAACAUUAUUGAACUUAAGAAAUAGCUCAUGACAAAACAGGAAGAUGGUGUCUGUGUGGUGUCUGGCUGCCACAUCAUCUUUGGGAACAGUAGUCUUCAAUGAAAAGUAACCUUAAAUGUUCAUUUAAACAUCUAAUUUGUGCAUUUAUAAUUGCUUUAUGAAUAUAAAACUUUAUUAUACAACUAUAAAAAAAAAAAAUUGACAUUUUUGAGAACCAACCACUGAUGUCGUAACGUCCAUUUUGUUCACUAGCUAAUAGCAUGCUAACAAGGAAGGAUGUUUUCUGGUUAAUACUCAAACAGUAAGCGUAACAACACGACGAGAUGCACGGCAUAUUGUACGCAACAGCAUUGACCAGCAUACGUUGUGUUUUCGAGCUGGUACGCUGGUCUGUAGACCAGCUACCAACAUAUGUUGUGUUUUGGUGCUGGUAUGCUGGUCCUCCCGACCAGCGGGUGUGUACGCUAAGACUUUCGACUGUAUAAAAAAAAAUUGCUGCCAAUGCCAAAAACACACUCAAAGCCCAAAAACCACUUCACGCAACAAAACAGAAAUUGGUGCAUGUGAGGGAGGGAGUAUAAUUUGCACGGGACACGCUCUUGAAACUGAACCUGUUUACUCUUGUAGUGCAGCUGGCUAAAUUGUCCAUAUAAUUUCAUUAAGUUGUCAACAAACGACUAUUUUACCCUAAUUUGUGCUCUUGCCUCUUCUAGUUUACAUUCUCAUGCCCACCGCUGACCAACUGCAGGAGAAAGCAGUGUCACGUGGCUUGCCAUGAUGUGUUCAGGUACACUUGCAAUUUUGACCGUUUUGAACAAAAACGGCAUUAAACUAAUUCCAAAAAGUAACAUGCAGUUUAUGAUUAUUGCUUAUGCAUCUUAACAGAGCUGCAAGCCUCAUUUGAUUGCAGUGUGCACGCCGCAACGACAAAAGUAUUUUAUUGUAUAAUGAAGGUGAUUAGAAAAUCCUAUAAGCACGUCUUAUGACACCUGGCAAGAGAACAGGGAACAAGGCGCCACCUUCCUCUUUUUUUCUCUGCCUACUCAUUGUUCUUACAGCGUGGACAAACACACGUGCACACUUUCGGAAUCAUUCUGUACCUAAAUACUGGAUGCUUGCCACUAAGGCUCACACACACACAUCACACCUUCUUCUCGUUCUGACUUCCCCAGUCAUGUGAACAAGUGUUGAGUCACGGUCGCGACUUAUCACGCUAUCGCACUCUUCUCCAGCCUCCCCGUCGGCUUCCUCUGCAGCUUUAAUCUUUGUGCCGAGGGCCGAGUCAUUGUGAGUUUUUGCAUGACUCGCAUGAACAAUCUGAUCACCGCCUAAGUAUUAUUACUGCAGAUGUCUGAGAGUUGCUACUUUAGGUCGUUAAAAUCCAGUUUUAUGCGCCGGGUUAUGGACACGCAGCAUGUGUGGAGAGCCAGGGGGCGAACCAAUGCAGUCAUUUGCUCACAGUAAAGCUGGAGAAGCGGCUGAAGCCUGUUAAUGAUGGGCUUUGGGGCAACGUGAAGCUUUGCAACAUCGACCAAAUAAAAAAAAAACAAAGCAAGGAGUUCAUCUUCAUUACGGUCUUGUCACGCCGUGUUGUAGCUACUGGCUGUCGUCCAAGUAGCUGGAAGUCACUACCCCAUUAUCUCAUUUGCAUAAUUGGCAAUUUGCAGUGUGAAAAGCAAACACCUUCUCCUAUUUACGUUAAAAGUGACUAACAAAGUUCCAUUGUGCAAUCCCGACCACGUAAGCUAACACGUCAAGAGUUGUGAUUCUCCAUAAAACACCGCCCCUAGUGUUAAGGCAGAGAAUUGCACUUCAACCACCUUGACAAGCCUAAAAAGAGUGACGAACUUGGCAACACUGCUACCGUGAUGCGAUUCAUUGGAGCUGAAGCCAAACGUCAGCUCUCUGAGGGAGGAAGAAGCGGCGAAGCUGAGGAUGAUGCAACAAGCUGAAAUAACGCCCAGGAAACCAUUAAAUUGCCUUUUAAAUAGCUUUAAACAUGUAGCAUGAUGCGGAAACUCGUACUAAAAUUCAUUUAAUAUUCAUUAGCACAACAAAAUGAAUGAUAGAUAAGUUAACAUUUUCAUGGACUGUUGCUGUUAUGAUUCCUUAAGAUAUGGAACAGCACGUAGUAAUGCUACAUUAGCAUUAGUAACAAAAUGGCGGCCUGGCUACUUUAGCUAGCAAGGGGCAGCAGCGUAAGCAAGGAAGCUCUCUCUCUCCUCUGACCAGAUCCCCGAGCCAUCUUAGCUAAUUUCUUUUUUUGUUUAAAGUUAAGGUAGUUACAGCUUUUCGUGAGGGUUACGACCCAUAAAAAUAUACAUUUUUUUGACACAUCUCGAUCCCCCAACGCAGCUGCUAGCUGGACGUUGACGUUCUGGGUCGUUAGCUAGCUCACUAAAAUGUUGUUGUAGCUGUGAAGUUUUACAAUGGCUCAUGUUGACUAUAUGAUAUUUUUAGUUCUAAUACAUUUUUUUAUCAUAAACCUUUUUGUGUUUUCUUCACUUGGACAGUGCUCCUGCCAACCAGCCCUGUCCUUUCUCUGCUUCGUGUGGCAUAAUGAGCGUGACUGGCAAUAUUUAUUUUUAGUAAUAUUCGUAUUUGUGUAAGCCAGGUUGUCAAACUCCACGUAAAGCCUGCAGCUAGUGUUGACAACGUGUAAUAUGUGUCGUUAUUGAUUUUAGUCAUUGUUUGUUUUGCCUGACGUUACGUUUUUAGUUUUAGCUUUAUCAGAGCUGUGUUGUUGACACGCUGACAGGUCACCUUGUUGCUGUUGACAGGCCUUCCAAACGCUACGGCGUCAGACUGACAGGUUAGCGGAAGAAAGGCGUGUGUUUAUUUGUGUGGCCUUUUAAUGAAAUCUGGUUGCGGUAUCUGAAGUUAAUUACAAGUUAAGAGGGUUUCAAAGGUUCCAGACAGUGGAUGGAAACACUCAUCAAGCAAGUUUGUUAUCCCCGAUCCAUUUUUCAUCUGAUUAAUAAGAAUGGUGUAGGGUUGUGUUUUUCCUGAGCCUUUGGUCAGCUGCUGAACGCCCUAUUUUACUCUAAUAGUCGUACACAAAUCAAUUACUCCAGCAUUUUUUUGGGCCACUCUCAUUUCUUCUUUUUGGAGAUCCUACAGUCCAAAAUGCUAAUUCUUCACUACUUCUGCAAUUUCAAAACAUUUUGAUCAGGAGUGUAUGCUAUUCAUUGUGUUCAAUAAAUAACAUUAAUUUCAUCAACUUGCACACACUGUGCAUAUCUUUAUUUUACACAUAGCUCGGUGCUUGCUACAUGUUUUCAGCAAAGUGAGCAAUCUUGUUAAUCUACCGUCUUUGCUCACGGCCCACUUACCCUCAGGAUAUAGUUGUUGUAGUCAUCUCCGAUGUGUUGAAGCGCUCGUGCGAUUUCCACGGCCUGCAUGGCCUCCGCUGCGUCUUGUAGCCUCGUACUAGAAAGCCCGGAAGAACUUUCUGAAACAGGCAGGAAAAGGAAAACGCUUAAUUCUCGAUAAAAUGAUCAGAAAAAUUAGUUCCUAAGAAAGUCCUGACAUGGAGAAGAUAUUCACUAACGCCAUUCAUCAAAGUAAAGAAGGGAGGCGGCAAGGGCAGACAGUCCCGGCCAGUAAUUACACAACUGGGGUGGAGCGUCUCCAGUGGAGGACGUCUCCGCGUGCAGUCAGGUUUCUUCUGGUUUGAAGGAGCAAAAUAAAUCAAAAUAAGCGACGGAAACAGUCUGCUGAUGCAUCUUCCUGCCACAGGAGGAGGAAGUUGUCGCCAUGGGAGCCGUGAAAGGAGCCUAACCGGUCACAGAUGAUCUCGAUGACGGAGACAGGCCGACGACUAGCUAGUGUGUGUCUGUGUGUGUCUGUGUGUGUUUAUCUCCCCUGUCAGUGCUAUCUGAUGAGCAUUGAAUAGCUUGUGUCUGCGCCUCACAAAAGGCCGGCACCACUGUUUUGACUGCAACACAUGCAUGCUAAAGUCCAUCUGGAUCAGCAUACUUAAUGAACAACCGUGUUUUGACUCCUGAAAAUGACACACACAUAAUCAUUGUUAAUCAUUGCCAGAAUAAAAAAAAAAUCCAGAUUUGACUGUAGUGUUGUGACGGGUUCCAUACUUGCUUAGAUAAACCUGCAUAAUCUUAACAGAUCCAAUACAAGCGCUUUUAUCAACAAUUCUGCUCUUACAAAGAUAACAAGAAUGGCUUCCCAAGACCAAACAAUACCAGAAGAUAGCGUUACGUGCAUCCCUGUUAGCUUUUGCGGCUAGUCGAGCAUCAUGAGAUGUUAAGUCAAACGUACCAGAAUAGCAACAAACAGCUCAGAAGGCAUUUUUGUGUUAAAAUGUCAUGUAAACAGUAUUGUAUUGUUCCAAUCCAAUCCUAUUAGGUGCCAUGGACUGCCAAAUCAAUGAUGGAAAGGAUAUGCGGCCAGCGAAGUACCAUAGAUGUAACUUAAAUGUAAAAAAAACGCUGUGCCACUCCAGUCCUAUAGGGGGCAGUAAUUAAUAAUUAGAAGCCAAAACUGAAUCUCUUCUACUCCAGUCCAAUCGUUUUCUUUCUCUUUGGGCUUUUCCCUUCAGGGGUCGCCACAGCAAAUCAAUCUCCUCCAUCCAACCCUGUCUUCUGCAUCCGUCUCUCUCACACAAACUACCCUCAUGUCCACCUAAACCUCCUCUUUGGUCUUCCUCCACGCCUCCUACCUGGCAGCUCUAAACGUAGCAUCCUUCUACCAAUAUAUUCACUAGCUCUCCUCUGGACAUGUUCGAACCAUCUCAGUCUGGCCUCUCUGACUUUAUCUCAGAGGUCUCUAACAUGUAAUGUCCCUCUGAUGUACUUGUUCCUGAUCCUAUCCAUCCUGGUCCUGGUCAGAACCUCAGCAUCUUCAUCUCUUCUACCUCCAGUUCUGCUUCCUGUCUUUUCCACAGUGGCACCGUCUCUAGACCAAACAUGUCUGGUCCCGCCACAGUUUUGUAUACCUUUUCUUUCAUUUUAGCUGAAACUCAGGCAUCAGGCCUGACACUUUUCUCCACCCGUUCCAUCCUGCCUGCACACGCUUCUUCACCUCCUUUUCACAAUCAUUGUUCAAACCAUUGUUCUGAACUGUUGACCUCAAGUACUUAAAAUUCUCCACCUUCUGUAUCUCUUCUCCCUGGAACCUCACUCUUCCACUUGGGUCCCUCUCAUUCACACACAUGUAUUCAGUCUUGCUGCCAACCCUCCCCGUCCUUUCUUGGCUGCAUAGACCAUAAAGAAGCAAAGUGAGCCUGAGUGGCACAUUUUAUUAAUGGGGAUUUCCAAAUCUGCCUAGCAACAAUUGUACUAUGUGAACCAUCUGAGCAAUUCUUUUAUCCUGCAGUGAUGCUGCCAGCUAUAAUUCACUUUCACUUCCACUUUCACAGUCAAUCACUGUGGACAACUUUGCAUUUUGACCGUGGUGUCAUACGUUCUCACAGUUGGUUGGUAGAGUUCCACCGUGUCUCUGCCGACUCUCCUGAUCAUUUCUCUGCUGUGUGGGGCAGUUUCACCUUCACAAAUAGUAACAAGUGGCCAAACAACGUUACUGUACAAACAAUGCCAGCAAUUAUCUAUAAUUACACUGACACUACACCUGCCUGUUUUGCACUUUUAGAACAUUAGACUGUCCAGACUACUUUUGGGUAAGCUGUUGUGACUCGUGUAGUUUCAAAUUUUACAGUAAAUACCUUGUCUGUGUUAUUAUGCUACAAGUAAUUAAAUCACAUACCCCCAUUUUGCAAUUUUUUACAUUUUUGGAGUUCAUGUAAAUCAAUUUUCACUUGGUUGCAGUGAUUCUGACAGCUUCUGAGUGGGGGGGGGGCUCACCUUGGACCUCGGCUACGCGCAGCAGGGCGUGCUGUAGCACCUGUGCGGAUGGGCUGGGGGUCUGCGUAGCCCGGGUAGCCGUGGGGGCCCGCGGGGAGAGCGGCGAGGUGGGGAGCGAGUCCCCCUCUGAGAAGUAUCCGCUGGAGGAACGCCGGCACGGGAAGUGGAAUGUAGAUCUAGUCUCGAACACGCCGCGGCGCUCCGGAGGCAGGGGGGCGACGCAGCUCCUGCGGCGAGACGGCGACCGCGGCGUGCCCCCUCGGUGUGCUCCUCCUCCGCCUCCUUCUUCCUCUUCGGCGACGGGCCAGCAGAAGCCGGAACCCUGCUCUCUGCGGCUCUCGGUCAACUCCGGACCGGGACGUCCUGCACUCGGCUCUGUGGUCACUGCGGUCCCAUGGGCUCUGUUGGGGGGGGAACACGACACUUUAGUCGCCCUGUUGACGCUGCGGCUUUUCCCGCUGCAGCUGCGGCGUGCCCGUGCCCUCAAUCGGAUUAUUUUCACCGCCGAAUGGAACCUAAUCGUAUUCACUGCAGCAGGUUGAAAUUCCGUUUCAUAAUCUUCUCCCUAUCUUAAACGACACAAAUGCCCAGUCAGAAAAGGGCAGUUUUUGGUGGAAAUUCCGGAUAGUCACGCGAAGGCGAAGGGAAGCAACUUUAAACUGCGUCACAUGCCGUGUCAAUCACUCUUUAUAAUGUCUUUUUGUCAUUUAUUACAGCAGGUGUACUUUAAUUUUGACAUUUAUGAUCAACCCUCACGGUGAAAGCGGUGGACUUUCUCACUUGGAGUAAUAUUAUAUUUAAAAACACGAUAUAUACAGGAUAAAAAUGCAUCUCUUCCUGUUUGUCCAGACUGAAGUGACUUCCUCGGCUGACUCACCGCCACAAAUAAUGACUCCCUGCGUGCCAAAAUGGCCGGACAUUAUCAGAUUAUUAUUACUGACUCGUUAAGCACUAACUUUGCCCUGCUGCACGUUUGUGUAAAAAUACACAAACGUGUUUUAAUGACUAUUUUUUUACAUUAAAUGGCAUUUAUUAUUAUUAUUGGCAUUUAUUGUGGUGUUGUAUUAUUGUCCUAGACCAGGGGUCGGCAACCUUUCCUAUGAAAAGAGCCAUUUCACCCACUUGCCCACUAAAGAAAAAUAGCCUGGAGCCGCAAAACGUUGUAUGUUUAAAACAACAUUGGAGGGGAAAAAAAAGACGAGUUGGAGUACUCUUGCUAGUACUGGAGAUAAACUUUUGUUUUUAAAUGAGCUCUAAUUUAUUUUUUAGAAUCGUCAAAUAACUCAUUAAUAAUAAUUAAUAACUCAAAUAACUCAAAGUAUUACUCAUUUCCCUUCAUGUUAACCUGUCAGAGAGAACUGGAUAGCAUCCUGUCUGCUCAUUCAGUCACCAGUCAGAACUCAGUCAGGAUGCAUUCAUGGUCUCACACAAAGUUGGAUUUUUGUAAACUCAUAACAAAGACGUGCAUUUUCACCACACGGGUGCUAAAAAAUAUUCAAGCAUUGCAAAGGGAGCCGCAACAAAGAGGCUGGAGAGCCACAUGCGGCUCUGGAGCCGCGGGUUGCUGACCCCUGUCCUAGACCAAGACUGUCUUGCCGAAUUGCAGCCAAGUGAGCUCUUUGCGCCCCCAGCAGGACAUUGCAAAUAUUGCAGCUGUUCCCUCGGCUUCACUCCAAAACCGGCGUCUACCGGCUCCCGUCUCUGGCUUUUGUGUCAUAUCUUGACUUUACCAGGCCGUGGAGACGCACCAAAACAUGCAGGUGAACCAGUCUGCUCCAAUUUGUGACGUCACCCAACAACCUAAGACGGGGUCAACGAACUCGGUGACCUCAAAAAGAAGAAGCAGCCUUUUAAAUUGUCUUUUUUUAAUUUAUACGUAAUUAACUGAAUUGAUUGUUUGAUUAAUACGUAAAUAAAUGCGCAUUUUUGAUCCAGUCGCACCAAAAACGAGCAAUAGUGCUUAAUAUAUUGAAAAAUAUUCGUCUUAAUUGAGUUGGGAAGUAAACUUGGCGCGCCUGCAUUGCGGCAUGACAGCUGACGGACCGGCUAGCUAAACAUAAUAAAGUUAUAUUUAUACAUAAAUGUAUCCAUAAGGACGCCAUCAACCGAAGGACUUACCUGGACGUGCUGUGCAUGUCAGCGGUGACACAUGACUGCGCGACAAGCUGCGUAAACACCCAAUGUGAGGACAAUUAAAUGUUUUAAAGAACAAUACAAAGUCCACAAAAGGACCGUUUUCAAUUCCAAUGUGGGUGACAACUCCAAAAGCAGUAAAUCCCAAAAGUUAUCAACUAAUCCAGAGUGUCAGGGGACGUAAACAAAGUCCAAGCAGCGUCUCUUUUGUCUCCGAUAGUUCCUAUCUCCUUUCCUUGACCGCACAACUCCUUUACUGCUAGCUUGCUGUCUGCUCUGUGCUGCGGGAGAUCUUCUGAGGUCUUCUUUUAAAAGUGGACGCUCCUCCCCCCCCGCAGAACAACAGCCCACUCCUGGAGCACUAUCUCUCUCUCUCUCUCUCUCUCUGGCGCGCACGCUCUCAUUUUGGCUUCUCUGUCUCCCCCUAGCAGCAUAAAGUGUCAUUGCAAUACUUUUUUUCAUCCCACUUCCGGGUUUGUUAUACUGUACUUUCAUGAAUGGCUUUAAUAGAUAUUUAAUGCUUUCUUAAUACAGUACAUUUAUAGUCUUUUUAAUGUAUUGUAAAUUACAAUACUGGACAAUAGGCCACAAGUUGGCAACUUUUUCCAAUAAUAUAACAUAAUGUAUUACAAAUGGUUCGAAUUUUGCUGUUUCACUUAUCACAAUUUUUCAUAAAUACACAAAUUAAUAAAUGCGUGCAUUUGAGUAAUUUCAAGAAUAAAAAAAUAGCUAAAUGAACUAAAAUACAAACACAAGACACACUAGCAUCAAACUUGGUCACCGCAACAACAAGCUUUUCUUGCAGGUUUGAAUGAUCUCGCAACAGGCACAAUAAUAACAUAAUUAUCAUAAUGACAAUAUGGGCUACUGUAGCAGCUGUAAUCCACAGGAGCACAUUUAUGUCUUAAAUGGCUUAAUUUCCCUGAUUAUAUCGACUAUAUUGGGUAAUAUGCAUGUAAAGGUGACUAUAGGGAUGUUAUGUCAUGUCUAGGGGGCUCUAAUAAUUAUAGAACUGCAUUGAGAAGAUCAUAAACAGGUUUCCUUUGCCAUAACUACACAAAUAUUACAUUUCUACAUUUCUAAGGAAGGAAUCCUACUUUGGAGAAAUUCACUUAUCAUGGAAACAAUGAAUUGCAGUCAACCGUAGGUAUUUUCUUAAGGUUACGUCAUCAAUAUGUACUGACAAUUUGUGCAAGAUGUUGUUUGUUUAUUUCACAGUAAAAAUAAGUAAAUUAGCCGCGAUUUGCAAGGUCGUUCAAGAUGCCUUCCAUAGUACAAAGUACAAACUUUGCUGUACAUAUCCCAUAUUAUUAACUAGCCUGUUAUUAUUACUAUCAUUAUUAUUCUUCUGAUUAUUAAUACUACUAGUAGGCUAAUGUUAGCUAAUGUUACACUUCUUAGUAUUAAAACUUUAUGGCAUGUACAUGUACAUAUGUAUCAGGCUAGCUAUGCAUGUACUGUACUGUACUCGUGUAUCAAUCAGUCAAUCUAUGUAUGUUUAUAAGUGUAUAAAUAUAUGCACUGUAUAUAUCCAACUAUGUAUGUAUAGUCUAUGUAAGUCUCUAUUCAUGUAUCUAUGUAUGUAUGUAUGUAUUACAAUUUAUACUUGAUAUAAUGGGUUUGGUUUCCAAAGUACAUGUUAUUUCUUGUACUUGUUUACCAAUUUAUUGUAUUGCUGUACUGUCUGUUUUGUCAUUUUCAUACCAUUGCAAGGUUUUUCUUCUUUAAAACGUCUUUUCAUAAUGUU